AACGAACGCUGGCGGCAUGCCUAACACAUGCCAGUCGAACGAGACCUUCGGGUCUAGUGGCGCACGGGUGCGUAACGCGUGGGAACCUGCCCUUAGGUUCGGAAUAACUCCCCGAAAGGGGUGCUAAUACCGGAUAAUGUCUCCGGACCAAAGAUUUAUCGCCUUUGGAUGGGCCCGCGUUGGAUUAGCUAGUUGGUAGGGUAAAAGCCUACCAAGGCGACGAUCCAUAGCUGGUCUGAGAGGAUGAUCAGCCACACUGGGACUGAGACACGGCCCAGACUCCUACGGGAGGCAGCAGUGGGGAAUAUUGGACAAUGGGCGAAAGCCUGAUCCAGCAAUGCCGCGUGAGUGAUGAAGGCCUUAGGGUUGUAAAGCUCUUUUACCCGGGAUGAUAAUGACAGUACCGGGAGAAUAAGCUCCGGCUAACUCCGUG
rnacentral:rRNA from 1 species